ACUAAGCGUACACGGUGGAUGCCCUGGCAGUCAGAGGCGAUGAAGGACGUGCUAAUCUGCGAUAAGCGUCGGUAAGGUGAUAUGAACCGUUAUAACCGGCGAUUUCCGAAUGGGGAAACCCAGUGUGAUUCGUCACACUAUCAUUAACUGAAUCCAUAGGUUAAUGAGGCGAACCGGGGGAACUGAAACAUCUAAGUACCCCGAGGAAAAGAAAUCAACCGAGAUUCCCCCAGUAGCGGCGAGCGAACGGGGAGCAGCCCAGAGCCUGAAUCAGUGUGUGUGUUAGUGGAAGCGUCUGGAAAGGCGCGCGAUACAGGGUGACAGCCCCGUACACAAAAAUGCACAUGCUGUGAGCUCGAUGAGUAGGGCGGGACACGUGGUAUCCUGUCUGAAUAUGGGGGGACCAUCCUCCAAGGCUAAAUACUCCUGACUGACCGAUAGUGAACCAGUACCGUGAGGGAAAGGCGAAAAGAACCCCGGCGAGGGGAGUGAAAAAGAACCUGAAACCGUGUACGUACAAGCAGUGGGAGCCUCUUUAUGGGGUGACUGCGUACCUUUUGUAUAAUGGGUCAGCGACUUAUAUUCUGUAGCAAGGUUAACCGAAUAGGGGAGCCGAAGGGAAACCGAGUCUUAACUGGGCGUUAAGUUGCAGGGUAUAGACCCGAAACCCGGUGAUCUAGCCAUGGGCAGGUUGAAGGUUGGGUAACACUAACUGGAGGACCGAACCGACUAAUGUUGAAAAAUUAGCGGAUGACUUGUGGCUGGGGGUGAAAGGCCAAUCAAACCGGGAGAUAGCUGGUUCUCCCCGAAAGCUAUUUAGGUAGCGCCUCGUGAAUUCAUCUCCGGGGGUAGAGCACUGUUUCGGCAAGGGGGUCAUCCCGACUUACCAACCCGAUGCAAACUGCGAAUACCGGAGAAUGUUAUCACGGGAGACACACGGCGGGUGCUAACGUCCGUCGUGAAGAGGGAAACAACCCAGACCGCCAGCUAAGGUCCCAAAGUCAUGGUUAAGUGGGAAACGAUGUGGGAAGGCCCAGACAGCCAGGAUGUUGGCUUAGAAGCAGCCAUCAUUUAAAGAAAGCGUAAUAGCUCACUGGUCGAGUCGGCCUGCGCGGAAGAUGUAACGGGGCUAAACCAUGCACCGAAGCUGCGGCAGCGACGCUUAUGCGUUGUUGGGUAGGGGAGCGUUCUGUAAGCCUGCGAAGGUGUGCUGUGAGGCAUGCUGGAGGUAUCAGAAGUGCGAAUGCUGACAUAAGUAACGAUAAAGCGGGUGAAAAGCCCGCUCGCCGGAAGACCAAGGGUUCCUGUCCAACGUUAAUCGGGGCAGGGUGAGUCGACCCCUAAGGCGAGGCCGAAAGGCGUAGUCGAUGGGAAACAGGUUAAUAUUCCUGUACUUGGUGUUACUGCGAAGGGGGGACGGAGAAGGCUAUGUUGGCCGGGCGACGGUUGUCCCGGUUUAAGCGUGUAGGCUGGUUUUCCAGGCAAAUCCGGAAAAUCAAGGCUGAGGCGUGAUGACGAGGCACUACGGUGCUGAAGCAACAAAUGCCCUGCUUCCAGGAAAAGCCUCUAAGCAUCAGGUAACAUCAAAUCGUACCCCAAACCGACACAGGUGGUCAGGUAGAGAAUACCAAGGCGCUUGAGAGAACUCGGGUGAAGGAACUAGGCAAAAUGGUGCCGUAACUUCGGGAGAAGGCACGCUGAUAUGUAGGUGAAGCGACUUGCUCGUGGAGCUGAAAUCAGUCGAAGAUACCAGCUGGCUGCAACUGUUUAUUAAAAACACAGCACUGUGCAAACACGAAAGUGGACGUAUACGGUGUGACGCCUGCCCGGUGCCGGAAGGUUAAUUGAUGGGGUUAGCGGUAACGCGAAGCUCUUGAUCGAAGCCCCGGUAAACGGCGGCCGUAACUAUAACGGUCCUAAGGUAGCGAAAUUCCUUGUCGGGUAAGUUCCGACCUGCACGAAUGGCGUAAUGAUGGCCAGGCUGUCUCCACCCGAGACUCAGUGAAAUUGAACUCGCUGUGAAGAUGCAGUGUACCCGCGGCAAGACGGAAAGACCCCGUGAACCUUUACUAUAGCUUGACACUGAACAUUGAGCCUUGAUGUGUAGGAUAGGUGGGAGGCUUUGAAGUGUGGACGCCAGUCUGCAUGGAGCCGACCUUGAAAUACCACCCUUUAAUGUUUGAUGUUCUAACGUUGGCCCCUAAUCGGGGUUGCGGACAGUGUCUGGUGGGUAGUUUGACUGGGGCGGUCUCCUCCUAAAGAGUAACGGAGGAGCACGAAGGUUGGCUAAUCCUGGUCGGACAUCAGGAGGUUAGUGCAAUGGCAUAAGCCAGCUUGACUGCGAGCGUGACGGCGCGAGCAGGUGCGAAAGCAGGUCAUAGUGAUCCGGUGGUUCUGAAUGGAAGGGCCAUCGCUCAACGGAUAAAAGGUACUCCGGGGAUAACAGGCUGAUACCGCCCAAGAGUUCAUAUCGACGGCGGUGUUUGGCACCUCGAUGUCGGCUCAUCACAUCCUGGGGCUGAAGUAGGUCCCAAGGGUAUGGCUGUUCGCCAUUUAAAGUGGUACGCGAGCUGGGUUUAGAACGUCGUGAGACAGUUCGGUCCCUAUCUGCCGUGGGCGCUGGAGAACUGAGGGGGGCUGCUCCUAGUACGAGAGGACCGGAGUGGACGCAUCACUGGUGUUCGGGUUGUCAUGCCAAUGGCACUGCCCGGUAGCUAAAUGCGGAAGAGAUAAGUGCUGAAAGCAUCUAAGCACGAAACUUGCCCCGAGAUGAGUUCUCCCUGACUCCCUGAGAGUCCUGAAGGAACGUUGAAGACGACGACGUUGAUAGGCCGGGUGUGUAAGCGCAGCGAUGCGUUGAGCUAACCGGUACUAAUGAACCGUGAGGCUUAACC
rnacentral:rRNA from 1 species